GACGAACGCUGGCGGCGUGCUUAACACAUGCAAGUCGAACGGAAAGGCCCUGCUUGCAGGGUACUCGAGUGGCGAACGGGUGAGUAACACGUGGGUGAUCUGCCCUGCACUUCGGGAUAAGCCUGGGAAACUGGGUCUAAUACCGGAUAGGAGCCAUUUUUAGUGUGAUGGUUGGAAAGUUUUUUCGGUGUAGGAUGAGCUCGCGGCCUAUCAGCUUGUUGGUGGGGUAAUGGCCUACCAAGGCGGCGACGGGUAGCCGGCCUGAGAGAGUGGACGGCCACAUUGGGACUGAGAUACGGCCCAGACUCCUACGGGAGGCAGCAGUGGGGAAUAUUGCACAAUGGGCGCAAGCCUGAUGCAGCGACGCCGCGUGGGGGAUGACGGCCUUCGGGUUGUAAACUCCUUUCGCUAGGGACGAAGCUUUUGUGACGGUACCUAGAUAAGAAGCACCGGCUAACUACGUG
rnacentral:rRNA from 1 species